UAGUAACAACAAUAAACUUAAAGAAAAAAAACAAUACAAACAAACACAGUAAAUAACAGCUAACAAUAAAGUAAUUGGUAUAAUAUAUGUACUGUAUCUUUUAAGUAUUUACAAGCCUGUGACUUUGUUUCUUUCUUAAUUUGACAUGCUUGGCAACCGUAAUAAUAAAGCACAAAUUUUUGUUUAACCCUAUUUAUUCCAGUUUCUAAGGUUAGCAAGAACUAAUAUAAUAUAAGAGUCCAAGCCGGGAUUCAACACUUGUCUCUUAAAUAACAGUGAAAUCACAAACCAUGUCACUAAAUAGCUAUUCCUACAUUAAGUCUGUUAUAAAUUUCAAUAUAUAUGCAUCUUAUAAACUUUCACAGAUAAUUGGUCUGAUGACAAUGUAAAUAGUAAAGAUGACAAUGUAAAUAGUAAAAAAGACAACUCCUCUGAUUUGGAUGAUGAAGAGCUUGACAGGCUAGAUAUAGAGGCAAAGUGUGCUAACACAGAGCAAUCUGAAAGAUGGGCAUUCAAGAAAUUGACAGAUUACAUCAGGAAGAGAAACAUGAUUUUAGAUUUUCACAAUAUUACACCUGAAGAUCUUGGUAAAACACUAAGAAAAUUUUACGCUGAAAUUAAAACAAAGGACGGUAAAAAGUUUGCUCCAGGCAGCCUACGUG